rnacentral:rRNA from 1 species
GAUGAACGCUGGCGGCGUGCCUAAUACAUGCAAGUCGAGCGAACAGACGAGGAGCUUGCUCCUCUGACGUUAGCGGCGGACGGGUGAGUAACACGUGGAUAACCUACCUAUAAGACUGGGAUAACUUCGGGAAACCGGAGCUAAUACCGGAUAAUAUAUUGAACCGCAUGGUUCAAUAGUGAAAGACGGUUUUGCUGUCACUUAUAGAUGGAUCCGCGCCGCAUUAGCUAGUUGGUAAGGUAACGGCUUACCAAGGCAACGAUGCGUAGCCGACCUGAGAGGAUGAUCGGCCACACUGGAACUGAGACACGGUCCAGACUCCUACGGGAGGCAGCAGUAGGGAAUCUUCCGCAAUGGGCGAAAGCUUGACGGAGCAACGCCGCGUGAGUGAUGAAGGUCUUCGGAUCGUAAAACUCUGUUACUAGGGAAGAACAAAUGUGUAAGUAACUAUGCACGUCUUGACGGUACCCAAUCAGAAAGCCACGGCUAACUACGUG